rnacentral:rRNA from 1 species
CCCUUAGAUGUUCGGGGCCGCACGCGCGCUACACUGAUGGGGACAGCGUGUUUGCCAUUCCUGGUCCGGCAGGAUUGGGCAAUCCGUUGAACCCCCGUCGUGAUUGGGAUCGGAGCUUGUAACUAUUCUCCGUAAACGAGGAAUUCCCAGUAAGCGCAAGUCAUCAGCUUGCGUUGAUUACGUCCCUGCCCUUUGUACACACCGCCCGUCGCUCCUACCGAUUGAGUGGUCCGGUGAGGCUUUGGGAUCUGAGCGGAAAGAGCGUUUCGCUGUUUCUGCUCGGAAAACUCAGUCGAACCUUAUCAUUUAGAGGAAGGAGAAGUCGUAACA